ACACGUUUGAGUCUGACUGAGUGAGGACUCGAGCCCAGGUCUCAAGUGCUGACGUCCACUUUCAUUUCUGCCUUUCUGGCUGUGGCCACAGAGGAAGACUGUUUCACCAGAGCGUGGCCUGCCUGGAGCUGGGCUCUGACCACAAGGAGACUGAGGGUCUGAGAAAAGAGUGAAGAACCUCUUCGUUUUCUCCACCCUUCUCCCACCAAAAAUAGGGGGCUCCUUGCAGGCCCAGGAGGAGAUUCAGAAGACCAUCAUCAGUGGCAUCAAGUAAAGGGAUUUUGAAAACACAUCAGCCUACGUUGGACUUCACAGUCUGCCUUAGAGGCUGUGUGAUCUUGGGCAAGUCACAUUACCUCUCUGAACCUCAGCUUCCUCGUCUAACAUAUGGAACCCUCUUGCAGGGUUUUGUAAAGCUGAGAUUAGACUUGUGAAUACAUCUGACAUCUAUGUGGUGCUUGAACUUUGAACUGUGCGCUGCCCACUUACCUGCCCCCACUGCCCGGGAUGGUUGGAGGUGAAGUUGUAAGGCCCUACACCUGCCCCUGACAGCCUCCCGCAAUAAUGUUUCUCUGGGAAGUUGGGAGAGGAGCCAUCUGCCCUCUGGACAGAGGUCACCGUUGUGCAGAGAGACAACCAGUGCUGCCCAAGAAGUAUUGCCCCACCCUCUGGGCCGUUUGGCACCACUCGGACAAAUGUAUCCUGGCCUUCGGAACCGAUUAGUCCUGGAAGAGUCUCUCUACAUUCCCUGCUUCUGCUUCCCUGGGGGGCCGUUUUUACUGGGGUGGGUGGGCACGUCCA